rnacentral:lncRNA from 1 species
GCAGAUGUAGUUUUGCUCAUGCUCAGCUUUCCAAACGUUCCUCUGUCCUUCGUUUGAGGCGUUUGAAGACCCAUCUUGUUGCUGUCCUGCACUCUCAGUACCAUUGUAGACUGCCGACCGCUACUCCCAGAAGUGGUUGAGCUUCGCCUCAUUGUGGCUGAGCUAUAAAUCCGGGUCUGCCGCUAUUAGGAAGUCCAGGCUCUGAGAAUAUUCGUGUUUUUGAAACGCACGAUGACUUUCUGUGAGCCUACUUAUCAGCUGCGCCUACAGCCGCCUCACCAACACCGUCCGAAGGGAACGGCCGCCCGUUACCGUUAGCAGCGCCGAAUCCUU